rnacentral:tRNA from 1 species
GCGGGCUUAGCUCAGUUGGUAGAGCGUCAGCUUCCCAAGCUGAAUGUCGUCGGUUCGAGUCCGAUAGCCCGCU